rnacentral:lncRNA from 1 species
CCCCGCCUGGUCCUCACCGCUCCCAAUUCUUAUCAGUUUUCGCCAGGUGCACUGAAAUUUAUAGCAGAAUUGGGAGAAUUUGUCAAUGCUUUUAGGUACAAUAGUCUGUAAAAUUGAUCAGGAGACAUUCAAUCAGGAAGAAUUUGUUAAGAUCAAUAAUUAUAGCAAUCAGACAAGAUCACCACACCCUCACAAUUGGCAUCAGAAGAAAUAACUGGAGUGUAAUGAUCAAUUGGGAAACCUGUAAUGCAUGAGAAAAUGUUGUUGUUGCUGUCCUCCUGCUGAUGUUGUCCGAUUGUCCAAUUUAGAGAUGAUGAUCAUUGUUAUACACCAUUUGUCCAAUUGCAAACAUGCCUAAAGUUUCUGCGAGUCAAUGGAAACAAAUUCAAUACACCAUUUGAGAUCAAUACUUGGAUAUUUAAAGAACUUUAUAAAAAAGGUGUAUCCUGAUGAAUGAUGCCAACAAUAAGAAAAGCCAACAGUCUUGACAGUAAAUAAGAAUGAAAAUUGUGAAAAGUGUGAAUGACAGAUUAGUCUUGUCAUGCUUACACCUAGGGAGUAUCAGAUGACUUCUCCAAACUCCUCCAUUUGUAUGUGUGUAUUUCUAAUCCAUAUAUUUUUACUCCAUUUUUAUGAUCAUUCUCUGAUAGGAGAGUAGUAGGAGAGGAGAUGAGUGAAUUUAGAGAAGAGAAGAGAACAAGGAAAGUAGUGCUGCCACUCCUACAAGCAAGGAAUAACUGAAAAAAAAUUCAGUUAAUUAACUGAAAAUGAUGGAGGGCAAAAGGGGAGUACUUGCAAGCCCUACACUAAAACCUAAAUGUUUCAGUUAAAUUUAAUUAGUGGAAAAGAUUCACAUAGCAGGGUUUAUUUGACAUGGAGUAGUUUAUUUGAUAGGAGUAAACAUCCAUCUACUCCAUCUACAGCUAAUCCAUCUACUCAUGCAGUACAAAUAAUCCAUCUACAGAAGGAACAUGAAGCAAAAACAGAUCAAGAUGAUUUUACUCAAAAAAAAAGAUCAAGAAAAUGCAAGAUUACUUCUGAGUAUAUUGUUGAUGUACUCCAACUAAAUGAGUACACACAUACAGUACUCCUACUGCUUAAUGAUGCAUCUUAAUUAACAAAAAAUGUUUCAGUUAAUUUAAUGAUGCAUCUUAAUUUCUCAUAAAUUCGACGAAAGCAUCAAUGCUGACAGUAGGAAGAUGCAAAUACUCAAGCAGCAAAUUUUGAGUAGGAAACUGAAUCUCUAAAUACUGCUAACACUAAUAGGCCAAUAGCAAAUACUGCAUUUUUGGAGUGUUAACAAAUGUUCAGUAAUUUAUGGAGUACAGCAGCAAUAGCAUCACAUUAAGAAAGUGAGCUAAAUCAUCACAUUUUCAACUCAUUGCUGAAUCUUUUCAGUGAAACAGGGAGUACAACCAAAUUCAGUGAAUUAAGCUACUCCAUUUUGAAGUACUCCUCGAGUGCUCAAACAUGCAGAGAUACAAGUACUACUGCCAUAUCUUUUCAGAAGUUAACUAAGCAUGCAAAGCUGCAGAUUUGUACUCCCUAUUUCAGUGCAACACACCACUCCUACUCCAAACUGAAUUUCAGUACUGCAGCAGUGGCAUAACUACUCCUACUCCCAACUGAAUUUUACUCCAAACUGAAUUUAAGAAAGCGAACUGAAUUUCAAUGUUAACUUACUUGAGCAAUGUGAGCAUCAGUACAGAGAUGCUACAUCUCGUCUCCCACCUCUCGUUGGUGCAGCUAGUAGGUUGAUGAGGCAUCUACACAAGGCUUGCCAAAUCAAAAACAAGUCCAAUUCAAAAAAAACAUCAAAUCAAGUUCAGGGGCGCCUGCAUCAAACAGAGAAAGAGAGGAGAAGAGGGGAACCUGCUCUGCUUCGCUGAUCUACUGCUUGAAGUGAGGAGGAGAAGAAGAGAGCAAGGCGAAGCUACUGCUGUUGCCACACGUCGGGGAGGCGCCUUAUUUGAAGCUACUGCUGCUGCUUGAACCUGCUCUGAUGCGGCUAGGCACCUGCGGCCAAGUUAAAUCUGAUUACUCAUAUCGGGGAUGAGCAACAACGAGGGAGAGAGAGGAGGGGUGGUGUACCGCAGCUGCUGGCGUUGGAGAGGAGGGGCUGGCGUACCACAGCUGCUGGAUCGAGCCGCCGCGCUUCGGAUCCAGCCGCCGGAGUGGAGUAAAACUGAGAUCUUGAAGAGGGAGAGGUGACGGCGUACGUCAACAUGGAAAAGCGGCGACGGCGCGAGAGAGAGAGGCGGAGGCGCAGCGUGUGGGGUAGAGGCGCCGGCGACGUGUGCGAUGAGAGGCGGAGGCGCUGCUCUUCACCGGCGACGACGAGCUAGGGAUUCGGCAGAGUGAGGGGGAGGCAUGAGCGAGCGAGCGAGCGAGUGAGCGACUGAGUGAGCG